CCCUUGAUGGUCUAGUUGGUAGGGCAUUCGGCUGUAAUUGAACAAGUUUACCGAAGUAUCCCCGGUUCGAGUCCGGGUCAAGGGA